CAGGAAGUUGCAAAGAUAGUACAAAGUGGUCCCAAUUUUCUUUGCCAAAUUUCUCUCAAUUUUUUUUUCCAGACAGGUCCUUGCUCUGUUGCCCAGGCUGCUGUGCAGUGGCAUGACCAUAGUUCACUGCAACCUCAAACUCCUGAGCUUCAGCGAUCCUCCCACCUCAGCCUCCCAAGUAGUCCCAUAGUCCCAGCCCCUGAGCUGGGACUACAGGCUGAUAUGAUCUGAAAAUGCUACGGAGAUUAUGAGAAAGAAAAUGGGGUUUUAUGGUGAAAUAAACUAGGGAAAUGAUGCUUUCCAUAAAUACAUAAUGCUUCUUUACCGUGAAUUCUCAGCCCUUUAAUACACUAAGGUGAACUGUGAAUCUUCUAGUGUGGGAGGUAUACGCAGCAUUUUCCAAAUUUAUCUGAACACAGAAUGCUCCCCCCACCCUUAAAAAAAUCCUCUAGAAAAAAAAUCACUUGGAACUAGUUUUUCAGGGAAUAUGCUUAGAGAUAUGCUUUUUCAGGUGACCUCUGAGGUCCUCCUGCCUCAGGGAUCCCACCCAGAUUAAAUGCCUAGAAAUAUAUCCUCCCUCGUGGGUUAAAUUAUGUAUCUUCAGCCAAAACCUACGAGUGUGACCUUAUUUGAAAUAAGGGUCUUUUCAAGUGUAAUUAAGAUAAGGAUCUUGAGAUGAGAUCAUUCUAGUUUAGGGUGAAGUCCAAAUCCAACGAAGAGUGUUCUUAUCAGAGACAGAAAAGGGGGACACGCAUAGACACAGAAGAAAAUGAUAGGCUAGGCAUGAUGGCUUGCACCUGUAAUCCCAGUGCUUCGGGAGGCUGAGGCAGGAGGAUUGCUCAAGCCCAGGAGUUCCAGGCUGCAGUGAGCUAUAAUCACCCCACUGUACUCCAGCCUGGGUGACAGAGCGAGACCCUGUCUCUGAAAAAAGAAAGAAGGAAGGAAGGAAAGAAAAAGAAACAAAGAGAAAGAAAGACAAAGAAAGAAAAAAAGAAAGAAAGGAAGAAAAAAGAAAAGAGAGAGAGAAAGGGAGAGAGGAAGAAAGGGAAGGGAGGGAGGGGAAGGAAGGAAGGAAGUAAGGAAUGAAGGAAGGAAGGGAGGGAGGGAGGGAAUGCUCUGUGCUGUAGAGGCAGAGUCUGGAGGGCAGCCAUAAGCUAAGGGCCACAGCCGCCAGAAGAUAGGCAAGGGCAACCUUAGCCAUGCUUGGAUUUCAGACUUCUGGCCUCCAGAACUGAGAGAUAAUAAAUUUCUGCUCUUUUAAGCCACCCACUCUGUGGUUCUUUGCUACAGCAGCCUGAGGAAACACAUAACCCUCUUUUCAGACUCUUGGGGUAUUUCAUUUUUAUUUAUUUUUUGUAGAGAUGGGGUUUCACUUUGUUGCCCAGGCUAGUCUCGAACUUCUGGGCUCAAGCUACCCUCCCGCCUAGACCUCCCAAAGUGCUGGGAUUACAGGCCUGAGCCACCGUGCCCCGACAAGGGGUUUUUAUUUUUUAAAAGAGCAGUGGCUGUUCACAAGUGCAGUCAUGGUGUACUGCAACCUUGAACUCCUGGGCUCACUUGAUCCUCCCGCUUCAUCCUGCGGAGCAGCUGGGACUACAGGUACAUGCCACCGAACCCUGCAGAAUCUUAGGGGGUUUUGAAGGAAGGAAGGGUCUCGUUUAAGUUUCUCCAGCCCCCAAGCUCCUUCCCUCCUCAGGCCUUUGCAUAUGCUGACCCCUCUGGGAACCUGAAUGGUGAAAAUACAGCAGCCCUGUGAAGACUGGGAGGAGGGCAUUGGGAGGGAGGGAAGUUCCAAGCAGAAAAGCCACCAAAGGCCCUGGGCCAGGCCAAGAUUUGGGAUAGUCAAGUCCCAGAGAGAAGGCAACUGUGGCUGCCACGCAGUGAGAAGGGAGGAGAAGUAGGAGAAGACGCUUGAGGGCAAGGGAGGGGCCACACACUGCCUAAGUCCUGCCAGCUACGGUCAGGGGUUUGAAGUUUAUUCCAAUGGGCAACUUUAAAAAAAAUUUUUUUUUGAAUAGGGUCUCGCUCUGUCACCCAGGCUGGAGUACAGUGGUGCGAUCACAGCUCACUGCAGCUUCAACCUCUUGAUCUCUUAAGCAAUCGUCCCACCUCAGUCUCCCCCUGCCCCACCUCCGCACUACCCCGCCCUGCCAUCGGAUAGCUGGGACCACAGACUCACACCACCAUGAGUGAAGCCAAAAAAUACAAACAUACUUUUUGUAUUUUUUUGUAGAGACAGAGGUCUCUCUAUGUUGCCCAGGCUGGUCUCGAACUCCUGGGCUCAAUCGAUCUUCCCUCCCACCUUGGCCUCCCAAAGUGCUGGUAUUACAGGAGUGAGACAUGGCGCCCAGCCCAUUGGAGGAUUUUUUUUUUGAGACGGAGUCUCGCUGUGUCACCCAGGCUGGAGUGCAGUGGCACGAUCUCAGCUCACUGCAACCUCUGCCUCAUUGGAGGAUUUUAAGCACGGGAAUAACAAGUCUUGUUUGCGCUUUAGAAAGAUCUCCCUAAGUGCAGUGUGUGGGAUAAACUGCAGGGGGUGAGAUGGAGACAAGCCUGGAGGCAGAAAUCAGGUAGUUCAUUAGGAUAGGCUGGGCUAGGGAUGAAGGUGGCUUGGUCGAGGGCUGUAACCGUGAAAUGGGAAUAAGUGGGCCUAGGUCUAUUUUGCAGGCAGCGCUGUCAGGAUGAUGGAGUGAGGGAAAAAGAAAUCACAAUAAUUUCUUAGUGUUUUAGCCUACACAGCUGGGCGAAUGGGGAGCGACAUCUAUUUAUGAUAGGAGACCUUGGGAAGGACUGGAUUUGAGGGGGUGGUGGAGGGAAAUUCGAGCCUGCUUUUGGCUGGGAGAUGCUCAUUAGGCAUCCAAGAGGAGGCGUGAGGUAGUUAAAUAUGUGAAUCUGAGUCCCAGGGAGAAGUCUCGGCGGGAGAUUAAGUCUUGAGAUUCAUCAGACCAGAGAUGGUCUGUGAAGCCGCAGAUCAGGAUGACAGCCACUAUGGGAAUGAACAAAGAUGAAGACCGGAGACCCCAAGACAGACCUCCGGGGCAGCCAUCACUGAGAGAGGGCGGAGGAGGAGGGGGAAGUGAAGGCUCCUGAGGAGAAGGCCAUGUGGAGGAGGGAAACCAGGGGAAGGUGGAGUCGGAGACAUUGGAAGAACAGGUAAGGAGGCCAUGGCCAAGCGUGUCAAAUGCCACUGAGAGAUAGGCAGGGGAAGGGACCUUUGGCCUUGGUGACAUGUAGGUCACUGAUGAUCUGGACUAGAGUCAUCUCCUGUAACGGUGGGGACAAACGGCUGCUUGGAGCAGCACAGAAUGAAAGUGGGGAGGGGGGAGGUGGAACAGCAGAUGCCAGAAGGGCUGGGGGCCUCCAGGGAGAGUUUCUAAAGGAGGAAGGGUGGGCAUGUUAUAAGCGGAUGAUAAUGAUCCGGGAAGGGGAGAAAGGCUCUGCAGAGACAACUGCAGGGCCAGGCCCUAAGGAGCAGGAGGGCUGGGGCCCAGUGCAGGCUGGAGGAGCACGAUGCAGCUUCCACUGUGCUCUGGCGGGGGAAGGGGGCACGCGUGGAUACUGGGUGGCAAGUGUGGGGCAUGGAGGUGAGGUGUGCUGGUGUGGGUGCAUCCUUUCUUUCUCUGAAGCGUGUGGUGGCAUUGCCAGCUGAAAUUGAGGUUGGGGGUGUGGGAGAUUUGAAAUGAGUCAUUUCAAGAGCGGGGAAGUGAAGCUGUGAAAGCACAUUGGAGGAACCGAGGGCCUGCGCGAAACGUGUGGUUUUGAUUUGGAAAUGAGUCUAGUCACACAGGGGUGCUGGUUCUUGAGCCAUAGUUGGAUCCAACUGGAGUUUGGAGUUUGGAGUUUCUCUGGGUGAGCACAGUGAAUGGGGAAAAGGGGUAAAGGAUGCAGGGUAGUGACUGUAAGGAUGGUUUAAGGACAUGGUGAUGGCGCUGCCAACAGGCAAAGACUGCUGGUUCAGAGGGCUGGGUGGGCUCAGAGAAUUGCUGGCAUGGUGUGGUGGUGACAUAGGACCUACCUGAGCUGGAAGUACAGGAGGUGAUGUUCAGAGUGGGAGGCUUGAGGUGAUCAGAGCUGACAAGAUAAGGUAUGUCCACUUGAGACUGUGGCCAAGGUAGAGUGGAGGAAAGCCUGUUGGUGUUAAGGAGCUUCUCUGAAUAUUCUUACUUGGCCCUUCCCAACUUUGUUUUUUGUUUGUUUGUUUAUUUGUUUUGAGACGGAGUCUCGCUCUGUCACCCAGGCUGGAGUACAGUGGCGUGAUCUCAGCUCACUGCAACCUCCGCCACCCAGGUUCAAGCGAUUCUCGUGCCUUACCCUCCCAAGUAGCUGGGAUUACAGGUGCCCACCACCACGCCCAGCUAAUUUUUGUGCUUUUAGUAGACAGGAUUUCACCAUGUUGGCCAGGCUGGUCUCGAAUUCCUGACCUCAAGUGAUUUACCCACCUCAGCCUCUCAAAGUGCUGGGAUUACAGGCAUGAGCUACCGUGUUGGGCCCCUUCCCAACUUUGGAUUCAGAGCUACGUCCUACCAGAGCCAGAAGGGGCCACGCUCUUCACUGUACAGAUGGGCACACCAACGCCUGGAGAUGUUGGAUGCAGAAGGCGAAAUGUCAGAAGCUGGAGUCCUGCAUCUCAGCUGGAAGGUGAGGUAAGAUUCCUGCUGGUGUUUAUCCCUCUCCUCACUUCCCUCAGCAGCAGCCCCUUUCUCCUCCCCUCCUGCAUCCCUGGAGCAAGUGCCUUAAGGUUCAUUAUUCACUCAUUGGGUUUGAGCAACUAAACCAGCCACGAGGGAUGAAAUUCUCCGUCACUGUGAAACUGCUCAUUCACCCAACUAGCCAGCUCACUGUUUCUGUCAUUCAUUAUACACCUCAUAAGUCCUGCAUAGGUCUGAGAUGUGGGCUUCAUGUAUGUCUGGCAGGCAUCCAGGCUUUCCCAUCAUGUGUCUGUCCCCUGGGUCACAUCCAUGUCAGGUGGGUACCACAGUCUAAAGUCCUUGUAUUCUCUUCCACAUACCAGGGCUGAUAAUUUAUCAGUUGCCAUUGAUCAAAGUUCACAAGGCAAAUCUUCAUAAACUUCUAAAGCUGCCUACAGUUUCCCGUAAACAAAUCUCUAAAUUUACAAAAGCAAUGCUUGCUGAUUGUAAAAAACACACAGUGCCAAAGCAUACAAAGGAAGAAGACCCGCUUGCAAUUUGCUACCUACAUCCCACUCUUGGGGCCAACAACUAUUGGAAGUGUGGUGAGUGAUUGACUUACAUCCUUCUAGAUCUUAUCUACAUAUUUGCAAAGAAAAAAUAUACAUAUAUAAAAUAAAAUAUGUGUGGGUUAUAUCCUUACAAACUGAGAUCAUAGGCAGUUCCGCAACUUGCCUUUUCUCUGUAACAAUAAGUGAUGGAUGCUUUGCAGGGUUGGUGCUACAGAUCCUAUUUAUUCUUUUAAAAGGCUGCAUAGGGAGCUCUGGUGGCACAAUGAAUUAGUG
rnacentral:lncRNA from 1 species